ensembl:snRNA U6 U6 spliceosomal RNA
GUGCUUGCUUCAGCAGCACAGAUACUAAAAUUGGAACAAUACAGAGAAGGUUAGCAUUGCCCCUCACAAGGAUGACACGCAAAUUCGUGAAGUGUUCCAUAUUAAA